rnacentral:lncRNA from 1 species
UUACAUAUUGUGAUCAUAAUAUUAACUUAGACACUUUUAAAAUGGCAUCAUAGCUUUAUAUUUGUCUUAGUGGUAAAUGUUAUUUACUAACUCAUACUUUAUUUCCCCAUUACAUGAUAUUGUUUUAAUCUAGCAGGUAAUGUAGGGUGAUAAAAAAUUUGAAUGAUGCACACAAAAGAUGAAAGCACAGGUAUUUUUGUUAUUCUAUAACACUAUUACUCUCUGUUUUAAGAGACAAAUACGGGUUGGCCCAAUGCUCUGC